AUAUUCUGCAUUAACAUCUCCUUCUCUCUCAAGGGAAUUUCUAGCAGACUUAAAGCACUGUAGGCAACAGAAAGGAAACCUGAAAUGCAACAUCCACCUGGAAGACACAUACAUAUUUGCUGAAGCGUGUUUCAAAUUUAACUGAAAAAGAAGAAGAAUAUAAUUGUGCUUCUCAUUCACUGCAAAUCUUGUGAUUUCAUAGUCUUCAGUGUUGACCUGUCAACCUGUAUGGGUUGUUUGUUUAAAAAGGUUGUAUUUUUAUUUUAUUUUAUUUUUUUAGGCAGACCACUUAAGUAUCAUGUGUUACUGAAUACCAGCUGAAUUAUUUUGUUGUUGUUGUUUUGACAGUCUUGCUCUGUUGCCCAGGCUGGAGUGCAGUGGCCUGAUCAUAGCUCACUGCAACCUCGAACUUCUGAGCUCAAACGAUCCUCCAACCUCAGCCUCCUGAGUAGCUGGGACUACAGGCGUGCACCAUCAUGCCCAGCUAUUUUUCAAAAAAAUUUUUGUAGAGAUGGAGAUCUGACUUUGUUGCCCAGGCUGGUCUCAAACUCCUAGCCUCAAGCAAUCCUCCCACCUCAGCCUCCCAAGGUUCUGGGAUGAUAGGUGUGAACCAUUGCAUCUGGCCCACCAGCUAAAUUCUUAACAUUUAAACUAUAAACAUUACAAUUUUUUGUUGCAGAACAAAAAUGAAAAGAAGAAAGAUGAAAAUACACUACAAUGUCACGGUCAUUUGCACCAGUUUCCUGUGUACAGCUCUGCUGCUCUACGCUCAUUUCUCAAUCAGGUUUUGUCUCUCUUUUUUGCAUUAAAAGCUGAGAGAGGAGCUAAAACUGCCCUGAGAAGCUCCCCCGGGACCCUGCCUGAUCAUCAGGGGAAUGGGGCCUACCUCAGCAGUCUACUUUCUUCAUUCAGCCCUAUAGCCUCAGGAGAGAAGUUUGUCUCGCUCAGAGGAAGCAGUGGCCGCUCUGUCCCAUACCCUGUCAGGCCAUUUCCCAUAGGAGACUGGACCUAGGGUGUGUGCUCAGGGUCCCAGUUUCUGCGGCGUUGAGCGGGUCCGGUACUCCUUUCCACACCAGGCUGAACCCCAAGGAAGCGAAUCCAUGUCCUCGUGGAAGAAUAGGCCCCAAAGUGCCAAGCAUCAGCCCCGUCAGUGCUGCCUGGAGAGCCGCCUGUGUCCUGCAGAACUUACACCCAUGCAAGAGUGCACCCACUCAGCAAAUGCGGGACACCGUCAGGAAGAACAAGACAUCCUUGCUUCAGCUUCCCUCCUGUCACCUUUCCACUUCCCUUUGGGGAAGGUGUGCCUGGGUUUGCACACGGACUGGGGCCCCAUCCCUGUUCCCCGCUGUGUGUGGCAGGGCAAGGGAAUGCAUUUUUAAAUACCUUUCAGGCUAGGAUUCCUUUUUUUUUUUUGAUGGCAUACUCUAACUCCAACAUUUCUUCUGUAAGUAUCACCAGUUAUUUUACUAAAAUCUAGAUUUCCCAAUCCAAGUGUUAGGAAGGUACUAUGCUGCUGCUGCUUUGGGGCUUUCUGUCUGGCAACAUCUAUAAACAGUGCAAUAGUGACUGUAGUCAGUUUCACGGUCUCAUGUCUGAAUCUUUUUUUUUUUUUUUUUGACAGAGUCCCACUCUGUCUUAGCCUCCCAAGUAGCUGGGAUUACAGGCGCCUGCCUCCACGCCCAGCUAAUUUUUUAUUUUUAGUAGAGAGGGGGUUUCACCAUAUUGGCCAGGCUGGUCUUGAACUCCUGAGCUCAAGUGAUCUGCCCGCCUCGGCCUCCCAAAGUGCUGGGAUUACAGGCGUGAGCCACCGCGCCCGGCCCUUUUUUUUUUUUUUUUUUGAGACAGUCUCCCUCUGUCCCCCAGGCUUGAGUGCAGUGGGGCGAUAUCUCGGCUCACUGCAACCUCCGCCCCACCAGUUCAAGUGAUUCUCCUGUCUCAGCCUCCCGAGUAACUGGGAUUACAGGUGUGCAUCACCACACCCAGCUAAUUUUUGUAUUUUUAGUAGAGACAGAGUUUCACCUUGUUGGCCAGGCUGGUCUCGAAUUCCUGACCUCAGGAGAUCUGCCCACCUCGGCCUCCCAAAGUGCUGGGAUUACAGGCGUGAGCCACGACACCCGGCCUAGGCUUCCUUCUUUAAAGACAAAUUUCCAGUGGGGCUCUGUAAGUAAUCCUCAUAUUUUCUCGUUGAGGAGUGUGGCCAGAGAAGGUGAGUCUUCUGCACGUAGCAGGGGGGAAAUGGUCAGGAGAUACUGUAAAAGCACUAAGAAAACCGGAAGGAAAAGGCCAGGCUCCAGGAGCACAGAGACUGGAUGGAUUCCUGCUUCCCUGUCACUCGGCUCUGUUCAGGCGGUGCAGUCACUUCCUUCACCUCAGUGUCCCUGUUUGUGCAAAUGAGGUGACUAUUGGUGCCGACCUACUUCCCAGGCAGUUUUGAAGAGAAGUGGCAAACGUUGAAGGGCGCACACUCUCCUUCCCCAAGCUCCCUCCCUCCCCACGUGUGCACCCAGAAGGAAAUAAAAGCCGUAAUUUGCACUGGCGAGUCGGCCCGCCUCGUCGAGGGUUCCGCUGAGCUGCUCACAAGGGCGUGCGGAGGCCCGCGGCCGGCCCUGGCCCCUGUGGUGGCAGCAGCUGGCUGGCUUCCCGGGCGGCUACCUCCAGCUGCAGCUGUCGGUGCUAUUUGCAGCUCUCCACAUCCUGAGAGCUGGACGCCGAGGACCGCUCCCUGGAGGGCGUGCGUAAAAUGCAGCAGCGGAGCGGUGAGGAGAUUACCGGAAAAACUGGGAGCGGAGUCAGGCUCGUUCUGGAGCAGGGAGAGGCUUGGGAAGUUGCGAAACGUUGACCUGCAGGGUCUUGAGGAACUGUCGGCCUGGGCUGUCCCCGUGGGUCAUUGAACAUUAAUCAGCCACCAGUCCUCGACCAAGCCAACCGAAAUAGAGUCAGCAGGCAGAAUGACGAAUACAGUUUGAAAGGGAACGAACUUACUCUUAUUCUCUCCUUGGAAAGGCCUUUCCAGACUCUCGAACUCACCCCUGUCACAUUACCCUGUUGUGUUAUCUUUGUGGGCCUGCGCAGCACCUGAAAUGAUCUGUCUUAGGGCCGAGUACAAUGCCCAGCUCAUUUGUAAAUGAGUGAAGGAGUCCCCUACUAGCAGGCUGCCUACUCAUCAAUCAAGUAGUUGUUGGGUUUCUCAUUUUUACCUUUGGAGAUGUUGUCUUCGACCUACGGGAAGGAAUUGGAUCUAUUUGAGGAGAUGGGGUCUCACUGUGUUGCCGAGGAUGGAGUACAGUGGCUAUUCACAGGCACAGUCAUUGUGCACUACAUCCUGGAACUCCUGGGCUUAAGCAAUCCUUCUGCCUCAGCCUCCCAAGUAGCUGGGACUAUAGACACACACCACCACACUCAGCAAAAGUGACAAUUGUUUCUAAUACAGACAUCCACACCUGGACAUACUGUGAAAAUUAUAUUCAUUGGGCAUAUUAGUGUCCGUUCUUUCCAAGAUCUGAGUUCAUAAUGUUUUCUUCUGUAAUUGUAAUGAAAUAUCACCAUUUCUUGCUAGCAUUAUACCAAAUCCCUCUAGGCAACUGGGUAGCAGGCUAUAUGCCAACCUAGGUUUUUGGAGAUGACUUGUAUCUUGUUUGCUAUUAGAGCCAACAUGUUAGAAUUUGUGAUUUGUCACAGAGUAGAAGACGAGUUCACUCAAGAAGCACUUAUUUAUGAGCACCUACACAGGUGAUAGAACAGUCAAAAGACAGGAGUUCUGGCCCUUCUGGAACUGACAAUCUUACUAGAAAAAUAAAUGUUACCACAUCACUUGAACAAAGGCACAAUUAUGCAAUUUGAGUUGUGUUUUGACUUCCUUCCCACUACCUUGUUUUUUUGUUUUUGUUUUUUGUUUGUUUUGUUUUGUUUUUAUGCUGGAGGUGUUGUGGGAGAUGGAGUUUUGCUCUUGUCACCCAGGCUGGAGUGUGAUGGCACGAUCUCAGCUCACUGCAACCUCUGCCUCCCAGGUUCAAGUGAUUCUCCUGCCCCAGCCUCCUGAGUAGCUGGGAUUACAGGCAUACGCCACCACGCCCGGCUAAUUUUUUGUAUUUUCAGUAGAGAUGGGGUUUCACCAUGUUAGUCAGGCUGGUCUCGAACUCCUGACCUCAGGUGAUCUGCCUGCCUCAGCUUCCCAAAGUGCUGGGAUUACAGGUGUGAGCCACUGCACCCGGCCCCUCCUUGCUGUCUUAAUAGAAAGUGGAAAAUAGAAAUCUUCUGCACAAGGCCUUUGGUUUGAAUGCAACAUGCCUAGAGAUAGGGAACUGGAAUCCAACACCGUUGCCUACAGAUCUUUGGAGACUAAAAGAGAAAAAAUCCAGGAAAGAAAAAAAAAAAAACAAAAAACGGCUGCCAUAGCUAUUGGCCUCAUUGGACAGGCCUGGGUGAUGUGCACAGACCCUAAAGGUGGCCGGAGCUGACCAGCUUCCUAUUGCACUCUUCUGGGUGGCCCAGGCACCCAGUUGCAUUGGCUGUGGCCACUGAGAAAGGAUUGAGUCAGGCUGAGCCAUGGGCAAUGACAGAGGAGAGGGGAUCAGCAGAGCCUACCUGAAAGCAAAGGAGAAAUGGGUCGGUCACCUCAUCGCAGAAUUUACAGAUGAAGGGGACAAACUUGUUACCUGAGGGUUUCCUUCAUGCCUUGGAGUUUCUCUGAAAGAAAAGACAGCUGAGCAUUUGCCCUGUUUUUGUUUUACCAUUUUUACACUUUCGAAGUCAUGCCAUCAAGUUUUAAGCUAGUAAGAGGACCAUAUACCGAAUGGUACAAUAUCAUAGUUCUUGUAGCAGCUACAUUUUGAUGAAUAAAAUUUCUUUUAAAAUCUCUUUUUUAAAAAUGAAGAGACUUCUUCUACCAGGCAGCAAAUGUUUCUUUCCUAUGUAAACUUAGCUUGCAAACAUAAUUUUAAACAGCUUUAUCAUGACUAUAUAUCUUGCUAAUUUAUUAUCUUUUUUUUUUCUUUCUUUCAGAGUCAUGGUCUUGCUAUAUCACCCAAGCUGGAGUGCAGUGGCAUGAUCAUAGCUCACUGCAACCUUGAACUCCUGGGCUGGAGCAAGCCUCCCAACUUGGCCUUCCAAAAUGCUGAGAUUGAUUACAGGUGUGAGCCACCUCACUGGGCCUCUUGCUAGUUUAUUGUUUAAAAAUCUUCCUCAGGGCCGGGUGCAGUGGCUCAUGCCUGUAAUCCCAGGCCUUUGGGAGGCUGAGAUGGGAGGAUCACUUGAUCCCAGGAGUUUGAGACCAGCCCGGGCAACAUGGAGAGAGCCUGUCUCUACAAAAAAUCAGCAAUUAGCUGGGCGUGGUGGUGUGCACCUGUAGUCCCACUACUCAAGAGGCCGAGGAGGGAGGAUCACUUGAACUCAGAGGGUUGAGGCUAUAGUGAGCCAUGAUUGAGUCAUUGCACUCCAGCCUGGGCGAUAGAGUGAGACUUUGUCUCAAAAAAGAAGAAUAAAUAAAUAAAUAAAUAAAUAAUAAAAGCCUUCCUUAGACUUUUUCCCUGGCACUUUCUGAAGUGAUGGCAGAUGGGUUUUAUUCUGGUUCUUAUAAUAGCUAAAAUUGGGUCACAGAAAGGAAUCUAGAUUAGAUGACAAGAUUAUUAUUUUCAUCUGAUAAUUUCCAUUACUCACCUAACUGCUGUCUUUCCUGGAAUUAAAGAGAAAAGAAACUAUGGAGGCCGGGAGCGGUGGCUCACGCCUGUAAUCCCAGCACUUUGGGAGUCCGAGGUGGGUGGAUUGCCUAAUGUCAGGAGUUCAAGACCAGCCUGACCAACAUGGUAAAAUCCCGUCUCUACUAAGAAUACAAAAAAAAAAAAGUAGCCGGGCGUGGUGGCGGGUGCCUGUAAUCCUAGCUACUCAGGAGGCUGAGGCAGGAGAAAUGCUUGAACCUGGGAGGCGGAGGUUGCAGUGAGCCAAGAUCGCACCAUUGCACUCCAGCCUGGGCAACAAGAGUGAAACUCCAUCUCAAAAACAAACAAACAAACAAAAACUAUGGAGACCCAGGUUCCAGGGCCCUUGGGUGGAGAAUAAAUUUUAGGAAUUCCUUUGGAUAUCUGACAGUAGAAGCUAUUCCUUGUAAGUCUGUUGCUGUGAAAUCACAACAUAGCUCAUUUAGCAGCGGGACAGCCCAUCUCUGGAAAAAAAAUGGUGUGAGGGUGGAAUUACGCCUUGGGAGGCCAAGGAGGGAGGAUUGCUUGAGGCCAGGAAUUCAAGACCAGCCUGGACAACAUAGCAAGACUCUGUCUCUACAAAAAAUAAUUUUAAAAAAAUUAGGCAUGGUGGUGCAUGCCUGUAGUCCUAACCUACUUGAGAGGCUGAGGUAGGAGGACUGCUUGAACCCAGGAAGUUUAGACUGUAGUGAGCCAUGAUUGUGCCACUGCACUCCAGCCUGGGUGACAGAGCAAGACUCUGUCUCAUAAAAAAAAAAAUGAAUAAAUAACAUAGAAAAAAAGAUAUUCAUAAUAAAAUAAAAUGGAAAUAUUUUGAUGAUUUCUUAGUGAGAUUUUAAGAAUUGUUAUUAAUAGCCUACUAAGACCUAGAGGUAAGAACAAAUUAGAUUUGGCCUGAAAAUGAAGAUGUAGCAAAAAACAAUAAAGAAAAAAAUGGCAUCUCUGUUUUUUGUUUUUUGUUUUUUUUUUCAGACGGAGUCUUGCUCUUUUGCCCAGGCUAGCGUACAGUGGCAUGAUAUCAGCUCUCUGCAACCUCUGCCUCCUGGGUUCAAGCAAUUCUCCUGCCUCAGCCUCCCAAGCAGCUGGGAUCACACGCAUGCACCACCAUGCACUGCUAAAUUUUAGUAUUUUUAGUAGAGACAGGGUUUCAUCACAUUGGCCAGGCUGGUCUCAGACACCUGGCCUCAAGUGAUCUGCCUGCCUCGGCCUCCCAAAGUGCUGGGAUUACAGGCGUGAGCCACCGCGCCCUGCCAAAAUCAAUAUUAUUUUGAUUUUUUAGUAGAGACUGGCCUGGGUCAGUUGAUUCUUAAGUACAGUUAUUUAAAAACCUUUAGGACCUUAACAAUUUUUUUAAAAACUCCCAAGUUUUAUAUUUUUAUUUAUUUAUUUAUUUAUUUUUGAGACAGAGUUUCACUCUUUCGCCCAGGCUGGAAUGUAGUGGUGUGAUCUUGGCUCACUGCAACCUCUGCCUCCCGGGUUCAAGCGAUUCUCCUGCCUAAGCCUCCCGAGUAGCUGGGACUACAGGUGCAUGCCACCAUGCCGAGCUAAUUUUUAUAUUU
rnacentral:lncRNA from 10 species